UACGGGGGGGGCAAGCGUUGUUCGGAAUUACUGGGCGUAAAGGGCUCGUAGGCGGCCAACUAAGUCAGACGUGAAAUCCCUCGGCUUAACCGGGGAACUGCGUCUGAUACUGGAUGGCUUGAGGUUGGGAGAGGGAUGCGGAAUUCCUGGUGUAGCGGUGAAAUGCGCAGAUAUCAGGAGGAACACCGGUGGCGAAGGCGGGUCUCUGGGCCGUAACUGACGCUGAGGAGCGAAAGCGUGGGGAGCGAACAGG
rnacentral:rRNA from 1 species